rnacentral:rRNA from 1 species
UACGUAGGGUGCAAGCGUUAAUCGGAAUUACUGGGCGUAAAGCGUGCGCAGGCGGUUUUGUAAGUCUGAUGUGAAAUCCCCGGGCUCAACCUGGGAAUUGCAUUGGAAACUGCAAAGCUAGAGUCCGGAAGAGGAGAGUGGAAUUCCUGGUGUAGCGGUGAAAUGCGCAGAUAUCAGGAAGAACACCCGUGGCGAAGGCGGCUCUCUGGGACGGUACUGACGCUGAGACGCGAAAGCGUGGGGAGCAAACAGG